CCCAAAUCUCCCCCUCUCCACCGACCGACGGCACCCACCGACCGGCGCCCACUGACGGACACUCUCCCUCUGCCAGCUCUCUCUCUCAAACCCAGUAGACACGAGCACCGCGGAUGUCCGACCAGGUCCGAUGAGGAGCGCCAGAGCCGACCACUCUCUACGGUUAGUAUCUCUCUCUCUCUCUCUCUCUCUCUCCUUCGGUGACUCCUUCUCUCACAAACACUAAGGCAAGGGCGCUUAAAUCUGGAACCACAAACCCCAAAAGCCCAAGCUCCAAGGACGGUCUUGGUAAGCUUUCGAGUGAUACCCUAAAAGUGUCUAUCUCCAGACUUAUGGCCAGAUCUGUGAAUUUGUUUUUAUGGCAAGAAAUGGUGUGUCCCUGUGAUUUGCAUUGCAGAGUAUACAUAUCACAAUAUCAUGGAUAAUGCUUCAAUUCCUCUGAGAAGUACUUGAAGAAAGAUAUCGUUGAUUUGCUUGCGAAUGGACUCGAUAUCAAUGCUUAUGGACGGGUGAUAUUAUUGAUUUAUUGCUGACACUGGGUGCCUAAGUUGAAUCACCAAAAUUGUCCAAGUGAGCGUAUGGAUUCUAGGCAGCUCCCAAGCUUGCUUAUAUCUCUUUGGUAAUCCAUGGUGGCAUAAUCAAGGUUCAGAACCAGCAGACAUUGCAGCUUUUGAAGAAGGAGAAAACUGAAAACAUGAAGUAAAAGGCCUGCAUCGUCAUUCAUUUUAUUCAGUAUCAUGCUUACUUAUUGAUGCAAUAAGGAUGCAAGGAAGAGUUUGUUGAAGGAGAGACAAGGACCUGGUUGUGACUGUGAUGUCCGCAAUUGGAGAGAAGCAGAUUUGUGCUAUGAAGGACAUUGGCCUUAAGUAGUUUAUUUAUAUAAAUUAUUGAAGGACUAUUGUUGCAAUUUUAGUUAAAGAUUUAUGUGAGCCUUUAUAGCUUGUUUUUCUUAAGACUGGGUAUAUUGGGUGGUUGAUGUGGAUCUGGAACAAAGUUCUAUUACCUUUUUCUCUUAUGGUAUGUUUGAUUUUUAA